rnacentral:lncRNA from 1 species
UCUCCUUGGAUUUUGUUGACUCCAUGCCUUGUCGGGAACUACAUCAGUAGAUUAUAAGUCAAAACUACUAUCUAAAGAGCAUUCAAGCCAAGUCAACCUAGGAUGGUAUUAUAGGCCGAAGGCACCCGAACCAUGAGGAAGGUCAGCUAGAUUGUUGCUUGUUGGAGCUCCCACCCUGCUAUUAUCAAAGUGUAAUUUCUCUCUCUAUAGCCAU